rnacentral:tRNA from 1 species
GGGGAUUUGGCGCAGUGGCAGCGCGCCCGCUUUGCAUGUGGGAGGCCAUGGGUUCAAACCCCAUAAUCUCCA